rnacentral:rRNA from 1 species
UCUUCCUACGGGAGGCAGCAGUCGAGAAUCAUUCACAAUGGGGGAAACCCUGAUGGUGCGACGCCGCGUGGGGGAAUGAAGGCCUUCGGAUUGUAAACCCCUGUCAUGUGGGAGCAAAUUAAAAAGAUAGUACCACAAGAGGAAGAGACGGCUAACUCUGUGCCAGCAGCCGCGGUAAUACAGAGGUCUCAAGCGUUGUUCGGCAUCACUGGGCGUAAAGCGUGCGUAGGCUGUUUCGUAAGUCGUGUGUGUAAGGCGCGGGCUCAAACCGCGGACGGCACAUGAUACGGCGAGAC